rnacentral:misc_RNA from 1 species
GCUAGACCUUAAAACUUCCUCCAAAUAGUUAGACUUGCGACUGUAUCCUCGAUCCUUCAACUUCACAAAAAUUUGCUCUGAAGCAAUUCUAAUAGCCUCUUUUUUGUUUGAGUUGGUUGCAGAAGUAGCAAGACGUACAUCUUUCCCAUCAAUUUUUGCUUCAACCAAAAAACUUUUACCCUUCUUUGAUGUUGGAAACUGCAAAUCCCAAUUAUG